AUUGAACGCUGGCGGAAUGCUUUACACAUGCAAGUCGAACGGCAGCACGGGUGCUUGCACCUGGUGGCGAGUGGCGAACGGGUGAGUAAUACAUCGGAACGUACCCUGACGUGGGGGAUAACGUAGCGAAAGUUACGCUAAUACCGCAUACGUCCUGAGGGGGAAAGCAGGGGAUCGCAAGACCUUGCGCGUUAGGAGCGGCAGAUGGCAGGUUAGCUAGUUGGUGGGGUAAAGGCCGACUAAGGCGACGAUCUGUAGCGGGUCGGAGAGGACGAACCGCCACACUGGAACGGAGGCACGGUCCAGACUCCUACGGAAGGCAGCAGUGGGGAAUUUUGGACAAUGGGCGAAAGCCUGAUCCAGCCAUUCCGCGUGAGUGAAGAAGGCCUUCGGGUUGUAAAGCUCUUUCGGCAGGGAAGAAACGGUUUUGGAUAAUACCCAGAGCUAAUGACGGUACCUGAAGAAGAAGCACCGGCUAACUACGUGCCAGCCGCCGCAGUAA
rnacentral:rRNA from 1 species